rnacentral:rRNA from 1 species
GUGAGGAAUAUUGGGCAAUGGGCGCAAGCCUGACCCAGCCAUGCCGCGUGCAGGAAGACGGUCCUAUGGAUUGUAAACUGCUUUUAUACGGGAAGAAACACUCCCUCGUGAGGGAGCUUGACGGUACCGUAAGAAUAAGGAUCGGCUAACUCCGUGCCAGCAGCCGCGGUAAUACGGAGGAUCCAAGCGUUAUCCGGAAUCAUUGGGUUUAAAGGGUCCGUAGGCGGCCUUAUAAGUCAGUGGUGAAAUCCCAUCGCUCAACGAUGGAACUGCCAUUGAUACUGUAAGGCUUGAAUAAUUGUGAAGUAACUAGAAUAUGUAGUGUAGCGGUGAAAUGCUUAGAUAUUACAUGGAAUACCAAUUGCGAAGGCAGGUUACUAACAAUUGAUUGACGCUGAUGGACGAAAGCGUGGGGAGCGAACAGGAUUAGAUACCCCAGUAGUCC